UCAGCCACACUGGAACUGAGACACGGUCCAGACUCCUACGGGAGGCAGCAGUGGGGAAUAUUGGACAAUGGGCGCAAGCCUGAUCCAGCCAUGCCGCGUGUGUGAAGAAGGCCUUCGGGUUGUAAAGCACUUUUGUCCGGAAAGAAAAGCUUAGGGUUAAUAACCCUGAGUCAUGACGGUACCGGAAGAAUAAGCACCGGCUAACUUCGUGCCAGCAGCCGCGGUAAUACGAAGGGUGCAAGCGUUACUCGGAAUUACUGGGCGUAAAGCGUGCGUAGGUGGUUUGUUAAGUCUGAUGUGAAAGCCCUGGGCUCAACCUGGGAAUGGCAUUGGAAACUGGCUUACUAGAGUGCGGUAGAGGGUAGCGGAAUUCCCGGUGUAGCAGUGAAAUGCGUAGAUAUCGGGAGGAACAUCCGUGGCGAAGGCGGCUACCUGGACCAGCACUGACACUGAGGCACGAAAGCGUGGGGAGCAAACAGGAUUAGAUACCCUGGUAGUCCACGCCCUAAACGAUGCGAACUGGAUGUUGGGGGCAACUUGGCCCUCAGUAUCGAAGCUAACGCGUUAAGUUCGCCGCCUGGGAAGUACGGUCGCAAGACUGAAACUCAAAUGAAUUGACGGGGGCAAGGGCGAAUUCUGCAGAUAUCCAUCACACUGGCGGCCGCUCGAG
rnacentral:rRNA from 1 species